CAUGCAAGUAGGACGCACAGUUUAUACCGUAGCUUGCUACACCAUAGACUGUGAGUUGCGAACGGGUGAGUAACGCGUAGGUAACCUGCCUAUUAGAGGGGGAUAACUAUUGGAAACGAUAGCUAAUACCGCAUAACAGUAUGUAACACAUGUUAGAUGCUUGAAAGAUGCAAUUGCAUCGCUAGUAGAUGGACCUGCGUUGUAUUAGCUAGUAGGUAGGGUAAAGGCCUACCUAGGCAACGAUACAUAGCCGACCUGAGAGGGUGAUCGGCCACACUGGGACUGAGACACGGCCCAGACUCCUACGGGAGGCAGCAGUAGGGAAUCUUCGGCAAUGGGGGGAACCCUGACCGAGCAACGCCGCGUGAGUGAAGAAGGUUUUCGGAUCGUAAAGCUCUGUUGUUAAGGAAGAACGAGUGUGAGAAUGGAAAGUUCAUACUGUGACGGUACUUAACCAGAAAGGGACGG
rnacentral:rRNA from 1 species